UACGUAGGGGGCGAGCCUUGUCCGAAUUCACUGGGCGUAAAGCGCGUGUAGGCGGCCCUUUAAGGGGAGUGUGAAAUCCUGCAGCUCAACUGCAGAACUGCACUUCAAACUGGAGGGCUUGAGUGUGGGAGAGGAAAGUGGAAUUCCUGGUGUAGCGGUGAAAUGCGUAGAUAUCAGGAGGAACACCCGUGGCGAAGGCGGCUUUCUGGCCCACCCCUGACGCUGAGACGCGAAAGCUAGGGGAGCGAACGGG
rnacentral:rRNA from 1 species